UGUGGGCCAAGGUAGACUGUUGU
rnacentral:piRNA from 1 species